rnacentral:rRNA from 1 species
GAUGAACGCUGGCGGCGUGCCUAAUACAUGCAAGUCGAGCGAACGGACGAGAAGCUUGCUUCUCUGAUGUUAGCGGCGGACGGGUGAGUAACACGUGGAUAACCUACCUAUAAGACUGGGAUAACUUCGGGAAACCGGAGCUAAUACCGGAUAAUAUUUUGAACCGCAUGGUUCAAAAGUGAAAGACGGUCUUGCUGUCACUUAUAGAUGGAUCCGCGCUGCAUUAGCUAGUUGGUAAGGUAACGGCUUACCAAGGCAACGAUGCAUAGCCGACCUGAGAGGGUGAUCGGCCACACUGGAACUGAGACACGGUCCAGACUCCUACGGGAGGCAGCAGUAGGGAAUCUUCCGCAAUGGGCGAAAGCCUGACGGAGCAACGCCGCGUGAGUGAUGAAGGUCUUCGGAUCGUAAAACUCUGUUAUUAGGGAAGAACAUAUGUGUAAGUAACUGUGCACAUCUUGACGGUACCUAAUCAGAAAGCCACGGCUAACUACGUGCCAGCAGCCGCGGUAAUACGUAGGUGGGCAGCGUUAUCCGGAAUUUAUGGGCGUAAAGCGCGCGUAGGCGGUUUUUUAAGUCUGAUGUGAAAGCCCACGGCUCAACCGUGGAGGGUCAUUGGAAACUGGAAAACUUGAGUGCAGAAGAGGAAAGUGGAAUUCCAUGUGUAGCGGUGAAAUGCGCAGAGAUAUGGAGGAACACCAGUGGCGAAGGCGACUUUCUGGUCUGUAACUGACGCUGAUGUGCGAAAGCGUGGGGAUCAAACAGGAUUAGAUACCCUGGUAGUCCACGCCGUAAACGAUGAGUGCUAAGUGUUAGGGGGUUUCCGCCCCUUAGUGCUGCAGCUAACGCAUUAAGCACUCCGCCUGGGGAGUACGACCGCAAGGUUGAAACUCAAAGGAAUUGACGGGGACCCGCACAAGCGGUGGAGCAUGUGGUUUAAUUCGAAGCAACGCGAAGAACCUUACCAAAUCUUGACAUCCUUUGACAACUCUAGAGAUAGAGCCUUCCCCUUCGGGGGACAAAGUGACAGGUGGUGCAUGGUUGUCGUCAGCUCGUGUCGUGAGAUGUUGGGUUAAGUCCCGCAACGAGCGCAACCCUUAAGCUUAGUUGCCAUCAUUAAGUUGGGCACUCUAAGUUGACUGCCGGUGACAAACCGGAGGAAGGUGGGGAUGACGUCAAAUCAUCAUGCCCCUUAUGAUUUGGGCUACACACGUGCUACAAUGGACAAUACAAAGGGCAGCGAAACCGCGAGGUCAAGCAAAUCCCAUAAAGUUGUUCUCAGUUCGGAUUGUAGUCUGCAACUCGACUACAUGAAGCUGGAAUCGCUAGUAAUCGUAGAUCAGCAUGCUACGGUGAAUACGUUCCCGGGUCU